UUGCUUUAGUUUCUCUUGUACCUUGAGAAAAACAACAAAAUCGCAUUGGUUAGAUCAGUUUGGCAUAUUCAACCGAUGCCCAGAGCUACAGAUUUUAAGGUGUUUGGAAAGCUAACGGAAAGAAAGACCAUUUGAAGGAAGCUAGCUCAAUCAGGAAUUUUCAAGACAUGUAUCUGCACCUUUAC